rnacentral:rRNA from 1 species
UACGGAGGGUGCAAGCGUUAUCCGGAUUCACUGGGUUUAAAGGGUGCGUAGGAGGACAGGUAAGUCAGUGGUGAAAUCUCCGAGCUUAACUUGGAAACUGCCGUUGAUACUAUCUGCCUUGAAUAUUGUGGAGGUGAGCGGAAUAUGUCAUGUAGCGGUGAAAUGCUUAGAUAUGACAUAGAACACCAAUUGCGAAGGCAGCUCGCUACACAUAUAUUGACUCUGAGGCACGAAAGCGUGGGGAUCAAACAGG